rnacentral:rRNA from 1 species
UACAGAGGGUGCAAGCGUUGCUCGGAAUUACUGGGCGUAAAGCGUGCGCAGGCGGUUUUGUAAGUCAGAUGUGAAAUCCCCGGGCUUAACCUGGGAACUGCGUUUGAAACUACAAGGCUAGAGUGUGGCAGAGGGGGGUGGAAUUCCACGUGUAGCAGUGAAAUGCGUAGAGAUGUGGAGGAACACCGAUGGCGAAGGCAGCCCCCUGGGUUAACACUGACGCUCAGGCACGAAAGCGUGGGGAGCAAACAGG